rnacentral:tRNA from 1 species
AAAAAGAUGCCUGAUUAAAGGAAUAUUCUGAUAGAAUAUCUCAUGAAAAUAAAAUUUCUCUUUUUA